rnacentral:rRNA from 1 species
AUAUUAAUAAGCGGAGGAAAAGAAACUAACAAGGAUUCCCCUAGUAACGGCGAGUGAAGCGGGAAGAGCUCAACGUGAAAACCGGCGGCCUUAGCGGGACGUUCGGGUUGUAGCCUCGAGAUGCGCUAUCAGCGUGCGACCUGGGUAUAAAUCUUUUGGAACAAGGUGUCAGAGAGGGUGAGAACCCCGUCUUUGAUCCGGAGUUCGCCGCGUACGAUGUGCACUCCACGAGUCGAGUUGUUUGGGAUUGCAACUCUAAAUGGGUGGUAAACUUCAUCUAAAGCUAAAUACAUGCGAGAGACCGAUAGCGCACAAGUA